GACGAACCGUGCGAACGUUGUUCGGAAUCACUGGGCUUAAAGGGCGCGUAGGCGGGUCAGCAAGUCGGGGGUGAAAGCCCACAGCUCAACUGUGGAAGUGCUUUCGAUACUGCCGAUCUCGAGGGAGGUAGGGGCGUGCGGAACUUCCGGUGGAGCGGUGAAAUGCGUAGAUAUCGGAAGGAACACCGGUGGCGAAGGCGGUGCGCUGGACCUCUUCUGACGCUGAGGCGCGAAAGCUAGGGGAGCGAACGGG
rnacentral:rRNA from 1 species